rnacentral:rRNA from 1 species
UACGUAGGGUGCGAGCGUUGUCCGGAAUUACUGGGCGUAAAGAGCUCGUAGGUGGUUUGUCGCGUUGUCCGUGAAAACUCACAACUCAAUUGUGGGCGUGCGGGCGAUACGGGCAGACUGGAGUACUGCAGGGGAGACUGGAAUUCCUGGUGUAGCGGUGGAAUGCGCAGAUAUCAGGAGGAACACCGGUGGCGAAGGCGGGUCUCUGGGCAGUAACUGACGCUGAGGAGCGAAAGCCAGGGGAGCAAACGGG